GACGGGGGAUGCAAGCGUUGUCCGGAUUCAUUGGGCGUAAAGAGCUCGUAGGCGGCUUGGCAAGUCAGAUGUGAAACCCUCAGGCUUAACCUGGGGCCGCCAUCUGAUACUGCUAUGGCUAGAGUCCGGUAGGGGAUCGUGGAAUUCCUGGAGUAGUGGUGAAAUGCACAGAUCUCAGGAGGAACACCAGUGGCGAAGGCGGCGAUCUGGGCCGGUACUGACGCUGAGGAGCGAAAGCGUGGGGAGCAAACAGG
rnacentral:rRNA from 1 species